GGAGGCAUUUUCGUGCCUAUGCUUACUUUGAUUGUUGGAUUUGAUACCAAGUCUGCUGCUGCCAUCUCCAAAUGUAUGAUCAUGGGGGCAUCAGCAUCAUCAGUCUGGUACAAUUUAAGAGUUCCCACAAGGGAAGUGCCCAUUAUAGACUAUGAUUUGGCUCUUCUCUUUCAGCCCAUGCUCAUGCUUGGCAUCACCAUUGGUGUUGCCUUGAGUGUUGUCUUCCCAUAUUGGCUAAUCACUGUCCUCAUCAUCAUACUCUUUUUAGGCACCUCUUCCAGGUCUGUCUUUAAGGGAAUUGAAAUGUGGAAGGAAGAAACAAUCUUGAAGAAAGAAAUGGCUAAGCAACAAGAAACUGUGGUUAACUCUGGGGGAGAACUUCUUAUUGAUACAGAGUAUGAGCCAUUGGUUCCUAGAGAAGAGAAAUCAGAAUUUCAAAUUCUGUGCUUCAAUCUUAAGUGGAAAAGGCUUUUGGUGCUGCUGCUUGUUUGGGCUUCUUUCCUCCUCCUCCAGGUUUUCAAGAAUGAUGUGGCAGUUUGCA
rnacentral:misc_RNA from 1 species